CAUAGUUUGGAUUUUAAUGGCAAAAUUGUGAAAUCGAUUGAAUUUUACGAUGAUCAAACUGACAAGUGGAGUGUUGUUAGUGAAACUGAAGUUGAAUUAUACUACCAUUCUCUGGUUGCUGUUUAAAUAGUAAAGAGCAAGCAAAAAGACCAAAUACUUACUGUAUGAUAUAUUGCUUGUUGGGAUUCAGGUCAUGUCUUCAAUAAAAGUUUUGUUCUUCAAUUUUAAACAUUAGCAUGUAAAACCGACUGAUGUAUUUUUAUCAUUAUUUUAUUUCAUAACCUUCUGCUUUUGCAUAAUUGACAAAUUUAAGUUCAUUUUGAUUGUGCUUUUUGCAAUUUUUUUUAUUAUCUUUUAAGAAAUCUGAAGAUUUUAAAACAGAUUUGAUAGUUCUUCAACGUUUUAAUUCUAGAUAUAAAUAUAAUUUUUAUGAUUAUAAUGAUGUUUCAUCUGUAAUGCAGCAUUCAUGCAAUGAGUCUUGAUUACUGGUAUAUUUUGUAUGAUUUAUUUUAUAUAUUUUUUUAUGUCUAUGCACGUUUUUAGUUUGAUCUAUAAACUAUUAAUUUGUUUUCAACCAAUAACUUGUGCCUCACUGUAGGAUACAGUACGGUGGGGAAAGAUGGGACAUCUUUUAACUUUAUUUUCUCACCCCAUUUGGUAGUAAACAAAGAACAUUUAAAGAAUUGCAAAAUCCUCUCGACCCAUAGACCGUUGUUAAUUGUUCAAAACACGACCAGGAUAUUUGAAUAUUAUGUGCUAAAUGUAUCUUCACCCACCCUACUAUAUAGGUUUUGGGGUGUUCAAUGGCCAUCUACUUAUUGUUAGUUCUUUUCCAUAUACUUUAUCCAUAGCGUCUUUUCUGUUAAUUCUUGCAUCGUUGAUGUAUGUUAAUAUUUUAAUAAACUUUUGAAAAAAUGAUUAUGUCACUUGCUUGUAUGGUACCGGGGCACAGUGGUUAGAAAGCUCUCCUCUAGACUAGAGGUUUAAGGCUGUUAAUUGUUUGGUUUCCUCUUAACCUUAUAGCUUGUGUUUACUCAGCUACCGUUAUUGUAGGUUCUUAUAAACAUGUGUUUUAUGCAGAAAUAAAACGUUGUUUAUACACGGACUCUGCCUUAUCUGAAUAAAAGAUAGUACUGUAUACCCAUAUUGGUUUAAUAUGAAUAAACACCAACUUUGUUGGUUUGUUUGCUACGAGUAUUACAUAUUUAGAUCUUAUAAAUAACAUUUGAAUUGUCCACACGUGUGAAAUUGCGCAUAUACAAAACUAUUUCGC